GGGUCUAAUACCGGAUAGGAGCGUCCACCGCAUGGUGGGUGUUGGAAAGAUUUAUCGGUUUUGGAUGGACUCGCGGCCUAUCAGCUUGUUGGUGAGGUAAUGGCUCACCAAGGCGACGACGGGUAGCCGGCCUGAGAGGGUGACCGGCCACACUGGGACUGAGACACGGCCCAGACUCCUACGGGAGGCAGCAGUGGGGAAUAUUGCACAAUGGGCGCAAGCCUGAUGCAGCGACGCCGCGUGAGGGAUGACGGCCUUCGGGUUGUAAACCUCUUUCAGUAGGGAAGAAGCGAAAGUGACGGUACCUGCAGAAGAAGCACCGGCUAACUACGUGCCAGCAGCCGCGGUAAUACGUAGGGUGCGAGCGUUAUCCGGAAUUAUUGGGCGUAAAGAGCUCGUAGGCGGUUUGUCGCGUCUGUCGUGAAAGUCCGGGGCUUAACCCCGGAUCUGCGGUGGGUACGGGCAGACUAGAGUGCAGUAGGGGAGACUGGAAUUCCUGGUGUAGCGGUGGAAUGCGCAGAUAUCAGGAGGAACACCGAUGGCGAAGGCAGGUCUCUGGGCUGUAACUGACGCUGAGGAGCGAAAGCAUGGGGAGCGAACAGGAUUAGAUACCCUGGUAGUCCAUGCCGUAAACGUUGGGCACUAGGUGUGGGGACCAUUCCACGGUUUCCGCGCCGCAGCUAACGCAUUAAGUGCCCCGCCUGGGGAGUACGGCCGCAAGGCUAAAACUCAAAGGAAUUGACGGGGGCCCGCACAAGCGGCGGAGCAUGCGGAUUAAUUCGAUGCAACGCGAAGAACCUUACCAAGGCUUGACAUGUUCUCGAUCGCCGUAGAGAUACGGUUUCCCCUUUGGGGCGGGUUCACAGGUGGUGCAUGGUUGUCGUCAGCUCGUGUCGUGAGAUGUUGGGUUAAGUCCCGCAACGAGCGCAACCCUCGUUCCAUGUUGCCAGCACGUCGUGGUGGGGACUCAUGGGAGACUGCCGGGGUCAACUCGGAGGAAGGUGAGGACGACGUCAAAUCAUCAUGCCCCUUAUGUCUUGGGCUUCACGCAUGCUACAAUGGCCGGUACAAUGGGUUGCGAUACUGUGAGGUGGAGCUAAUCCCAAAAAGCCGGUCUCAGUUCGGAUUG
rnacentral:rRNA from 1 species